AGGGAUAUUGGUCAAUGGGGGAAACCCUGAACCAGCAACGCCGCGUGAGGGAAGACGGUUUUCGGAUUGUAAACCUCUGUCCUCUGUGAAGAUGAUGACGGUAGCAGAGGAGGAAGCUCCGGCUAACUACGUGCCAGCAGCCGCGGUAAUACGUAGGGGGCAAGCGUUAUCCGGAUUUACUGGGUGUAAAGGGCGUGUAGGCGGGACUGCAAGUCAGAUGUGAAAAUUAUGGGCUCAACCCAUAACCUGCAUUUGAAACUGUAGUUCUUGAGUGAUGGAGAGGCAGGCGGAAUUCCGUGUGUAGCGGUGAAAUGCGUAGAUAUACGGAGGAACACCAGUGGCGAAGGCGGCCUGCUGGACAUUAACUGACGCUGAGGCGCGAAAGCGUGGGGAGCAAACAGG
rnacentral:rRNA from 1 species